rnacentral:rRNA from 1 species
UACGGGGGGAGCAAGCGUUGUUCGGAUUUACUGGGCGUAAAGGGCGCGUAGGCGGUCGUGACAAGUCACUUGUGAAAUCUCCGGGCUUAACUCGGAACGGUCAAGUGAUACUGUCGGACUAGAGUACAGAAGGGGGCAACUGGAAUUCUCGGUGUAGCGGUGAAAUGCGUAGAUAUCGAGAGGAACACCUGCGGCGAAGGCGGGUUGCUGGGCUGAUACUGACGCUGAGGCGCGGAAAGCCAGGGGAGCAAACGGG